GUGUCAGCAGCCGCGGUAAUACGGAGGAUGCAAGCGUUAUCCGGAUUUAUUGGGCGUAAAGCGUCCGCAGGUGGUUUUCCAAGUCUGCUGUUAAAGCGCGAGGCUUAACCUCGUACAGGCAGUGGAAACUGGAUGACUAGAGUAUGGUAGGGGUAGCGGGAAUUCCCAGUGUAGCGGUGAAAUGCGUAGAUAUUGGGAAGAACACCAGCGGCGAAAGCGCGCUACUGGGCCAUUACUGACACUCAUGGACGAAAGCUAGGGGAGCGAAAGGGAUUAGAUACCCCCGUAGUCC
rnacentral:rRNA from 1 species